GGUGAACGCUGGCGGCGUGCCUAACACAUGCAAGUCGAGCGGUGCAGUUUGAAGCUUCGGUGGAAAGCUGCAUAGCGGCGGACGGGUGAGGAAAACGUAGGAACGUGCCCCUUGGAGUUGGAUAGCCACGGGAAACUGUGGGUAAACCGACAUAGACUCGAGAGAGUAAAGGCCGAAAGGUGCCAAGGGAGCGGCCUGCGGCCCAUCAGGUAGUUGGUAGUGUAAAGGACUACCAAGCCGACGACGGGUAGCCGGUCUGAGAGGAUGGCCGGCCACAAGGGCACUGAGAGACGGGCCCUACUCCUACGGGAGGCAGCAGUGGGGGAUUUGGACAAUGGGCGAAAGCCUGAUCCAGCGACGCCGCGUGGAGGACGAAGCCCUUCGGGUGUAAACUCCUUUUCUCAGGGAAAAAGGAUGAUGGUACCUGAGGAAUAAAGCCCCGGCUAACUACGUG
rnacentral:rRNA from 1 species